rnacentral:rRNA from 1 species
CAGAGGGAUUGCCCUAGUGCGCUGUACGCCAGCGCCUAGGGUGGUCUUGCUGCGCCCAACCGUGUCUUUGGUGGAUUGUCUGUUUCCUCGGCGAGCUUGCUCGCCAAUGGGGACCAACCUAAACACUUUUGUAGUUGUAGUUGUACUGUCAGUAAACAAACCUUUAAAACUUUCAACAACGGAUCUCUUGGUUCUGGCAUCGAUGAAGAACGCAGCGAAAUGCGAUAAGUAGUGUGAAUUGCAGAAUUCAGUGAAUCAUCGAAUCUUUGAACGCACAUUGCGCCCUUUGGUAUUCCUUAGGGCAUGCCUGUUCGAGCGUCAUUUAAACCCUCAAGCUCUGCUUGGUGUUGGGCGCCUGUCCCGCCUCUGGCGUGGACUCGCCUCGAAGAUAUUGGCGGUUGUUGCAUUGACCGGAUGCGCAGUAAAAACGCGCUGGUACUGGCUUGAUGCCUUCCUCCAGGAAGCUAAACCUCUCAUCUUGACCUCGGAUCAGGUAGGGAUACCCGCUGAACUUAAGCAUAUCAAUAAGCGGAGG